AUGGGGAUGCAAAGUUCCUGCUGUUCCACAAAUUCAUACGGCCCCCUGCCUGGUUAUUUGGUUUUCAAUUUAAUGCACUCAUGGCACGAUGGGACGCUACAUUUUCCAGUACCCAAGGAUGAUUUUGAAUUGAGGAAGCGAUUUUUGGUUCAUAUUUUGAUGUAUGAAGAGAAUGAAGUUCUAAACAAUAUCCCAGUCUUAGAACGAAGCAUCAUAAAUCGGAUCGAAAGAUGA
rnacentral:rRNA from 1 species